GCCGUCGCCAUGACCCGUGAGCACCGAGCCCCCUUCUCCUUGCCCUUUUCUUUCCGUUCACCCUAAACACCACCGGCGAGGCGCCGGCUUUGACCUUCCGUAGCUUCCCUAGCAAGGCGUUUCUCUGGGCGCGCUCUGUGGCCACCCUCACACUCGGUGCCCGGAAAUCGAGCCCUUUGCCCACGGCUACUUCACGGGACCACCCUCCCGGGCGGUAACCAGCGUGAGCUCGCCCGCCAGAAGAAUAUGAAAAAGCAGAGCGACUCGGUUAAGGGAAAGCGCCGAGAUGACGGGCUUUCUGCUGCCGCCCGCAAGCAGAGGGACUCGGAGAUCAUGCAGCAGAAGCAGAAAAAGGCAAACGAGAAGAAGGAGGAACCCAAGUAGCUUUGUGGCUUCGUGUCCAACCCUCUUGCCCUUCGCCUGUGUGCCUGGAGCCAGUCCCACCACGCUCGCGUUUCCUCCUGUAGUGCUCACAGGUCCCAGCACCGAUGGCAUUCCCUUUGCCCUGAGUCUGCAGCGGGUCCCUUUUGUGCUUCCUUCCCCUCAGGUAGCCUCUCUCCCCCUGGGCCACUCCCGGGGGUGAGGG
rnacentral:lncRNA from 1 species